AUGCAACCUAAAGCAGAAGUUCGGACUCUGAAGCAUAUGGGAACUAGUCACCUUGUGGAGCCUAAUCUUGUGGGAAAGCACACUUUACAUGCUUGCAAAAGAUUGGUUGAACGGAUUUUUACACAUAAGGAAGAGAAGGCAUACAAGGUUGGUAUUGUUGGAACAGGAGGGGUUGGGAAGACAACUCUAGCUCAAAAAAUAUAUAAUGCCGAAAACUUGAAAGAAGCCUUUAGCAACCAAGCAUGGAUUUGUGUUUCUCGGGAUUACUCAGAUAUCACUCUUUUGAAAGAACUUCUUCGAAAUUUUGGGGUACAUCAUGUGCAACCCGAAUUUGUGGGUUGCAGGGGGGCUAGGGCUAAUCCGAGGUCCAUGGUGGCAGUUGCUUUCCCCAAGCUCGAAGUGCUUGUCAUCAGGGAUUUGCACAACUGGGAGGAUUGGUCCUUAGUUGAAGAUGCAACAGGAGCAGCAGCUACAGAAGGGGGUGAGGAUGUAGAUGCCGAGAUGAGGAUGGCGGCUCUCUGGCGCGGAGGCGCGGGUUGCUGCAGAUUCGCGGCCAGGCGGGGUGUGCCAGCGCGGGGUGGCCGUGGUGAGCUUGUCGGUCCAGAUCUGGAUCAGGGGGCUCCUCCGGCAUGCUGCACGGGGGCGACGCGUCCUGUCGGCGGCGGCUGGAUCCCGGGGCGGCAGCCCUGGAAGGUGGCGGCGGGUGAAGCUUGGGCUUCCCGCGGCGGCAUGACGUGGUGCAGUCCCUAUCCAAGGCGGACCUGCAUCGGGGAUCUCGUGGUUUUGCCACAGAUUGGUUCAGAUCAGAGACGGUGA
rnacentral:rRNA from 1 species